rnacentral:rRNA from 1 species
ACGAACGCUGGCGGCAGGCUUAACACAUGCAAGUCGAACGCCCCGCAAGGGGAGUGGCGCACGGGUGAGUAACGCGUGGGAAUAUGCCCUUCGGUUCGGAAUAACACAGGGAAACUUGUGCUAAUACCGGAUACGAUCUACGGAUGAAAGAUUCAUCGCCGAGGGAGUAGCCCGCGUCAGAUUAGCUAGUUGGUGAGGUAAUGGCUCACCAAGGCGACGAUCUGUAGCUGGUCUGAGAGGAUGAUCAGCCACACUGGGACUGAGACACGGCCCAGACUCCUACGGGAGGCAGCAGUGGGGAAUAUUGGACAAUGGGGGAAACCCUGAUCCAGCCAUGCCGCGUGAGUGAUGAAGGCCUUAGGGUUGUAAAGCUCUUUCGUCGGGGAAGAUAAUGACGGUACCCGAAGAAGAAGCCUCGGCUAACUCCGU